rnacentral:lncRNA from 1 species
CACCAGGGCUCCGCCAACCACCAGAGCGCCGGCGGCUGCAGUGCCUGCACCCAGUCACCAGCAACCCCACCCGCCGCCCUGUGGUGCUGCACGCCGACCUGAAGGGCAGCAGCCCCCUCCACUGUCGUACGUGUUCCAUCUUUUCUUGAUUUAUUUCCCAUCUUUAGAUCUCCAAUCAAUUUUGCAUCUUGUAGUUCUCUUUUUGCCCUUGUUAAUUGAUGCGCAUCUGACCUGAUUUUGCCUGCCGUGACAUUUGAGAUGCAGUGGGAGCUUCUUUGUUGUUGCAGCACCAGACGAGGCAUCUGGACCACCAAAUCUCUGGCAUCUGUCUGGAAAUAUUUGGCUCCCACUGACGGACAGCAAGGUCAGAACUUGUAGAAUAUAUAAUCUUGAUUUGCACUGGACUAGCUGUGGUGAAUUAACUGCUAUCUGCUAGCUACUGUGAUCCCUGCACCAAUAUUGCAAUAUCAAAGUUUGGUUGUAGUACUGACCGGAAGAUUUUGCUUCCAGUUCUUUCAAAGUUUGCAUCUAGAUGUACUAUUGAUUGAUGUCCGUUGACUAUUUUUGCUGCUCUAAAUAUACAGAUUAAGUCACCUGUCAAUAAAUUUUGUUGCUCUAGUUUGCACAAAUUUUGCUAGCUAUAUAGGAAAUCUGUUAUUAUGUCUUUUAAUGUUAUAUUAUUAGUUGUAUAUGAAUUUUAUUUUGUUUGAUUGGAGCAAUUUGUGAUAUGUCUAAAUUUCUAACAAGUUUCUCACUCUAGUGGGCUGUUGCUGCUUCACUUGGUUCUCUGUGUGAUUUCUGAACUGACCUCGAAGUCUUGGACAACUACUGUGACUCGGCUAGCCGCUGGUUAGUUCUCAUCUUCUUAUACAAGCUGGCAGAUAAGAUAUGGCAGAUCGUGAGUGGAUGUAUAGUGGUUGGAAGCGUGGUAGGCUAUCAAAUGAAUGGGUUGAUAAAACAAAAGAGUUUUUGGAUCAUGCCUUCUCAAUCCCUGAAUUAGUUGAGUCUGAUACAAUUAGGUGCCCUUGUUCCAUGUGCCGGAAUUAUUUCAGGCAUAAAAGGCCUAGGAUAGAGCUACAUUUGUGCCACAAUGGGUUCAAGGAAAAUUACUAAACUUGGACGGCACAUGGGGAGAGGCAGGGAAAUCACAACCUUGAGAUUGGUUCUGGGGUAGAACGUGAGGGAUUUGGUGAGACAGAUCGGAUGGAUGCUAUGCUAGUUGACUUAGCUGGUGAGCAACCACCAUUAGCUGAUGAAACACCUACUGGUUUUGCAGAAGCCUUCUAUAGAAUGGUUGUUAGUGCAGAUGAGCAAGUACAUGAGCAAACCUUGCACUCUAGGCUCUCUGCUGUUGCUCGUCUAUUGGCCAUUAAAUCACAGUACAUGUUAUGUGGCAGGAGAUGCAGUCCUUCAAUCAUCGGACAGAUAGGCGACCGAGAUCAAGUGAUGUCUCAUAUGACGUCGAGAGUCAGCCCCCUGCAGUAAAGAGGAUAAGGGGCCGCAAUAAACCGCAUAAGCCUCGCAAUGGUCGGAUAGCCAUACUACCUGAGGGUGACAAGUAUGUGCAUGCUGAUUUUUUUUCUCUUUAUGGACACUGCUAGUGUUGGAACUUACUAAUCCUUUUAUGUUGUACUUCAUUUUUCUUAUUGAGCAGCCAAUUCCGCUAUGCUAAUUACUCAAUUGAUGAUAAAAUGAAGAAAGGCCCCAUCCUUGGAGUGCUUUUAAAGCAAGAGUAUCCUCCGAUCAUUCAAGGGACAACUAGAGAUGGUCGUCCAUUCAAAUAUCAUGCAAGCAAGUGGGAACACUACUCACACAUUCUAAGGGAGGAUGAUGCACAGACCCCAGCUGACCGUGUGAAACAAGAGUUCUGGGUGAGCAUAUAAGAUAUGUCAUUGUAUUUCUUUCAACUGUAGGCAUGUAUGAGUAGUUGUCAAGUUACUAUCAGCCUGUUCAUUAGCUGCUGCACUUUCUAACAAUAUGAAAGUGGUGUUCAGCCUAUUUACAAUAAUGCUUGAUUAUUGUUUCUUUUCCAGAGCAUAUAUUCAGUUCCUGAAGAACUUGAAGAUGAAGCUGACCGUGUAUUUGAGAAAUAUGCACGCACCCAAUGCAAGAAUAUGAUGUACCAAGCUCGUCCAGAUGCUGUCAAGCACUACUAUCGCGAAAUCAUAAAGAGCCCAAAGAAUGAUGCAUUUGCUUGUGCCAAACUACUCACUUUUGAAGAGUACAUGCAAUGCAAGCCUGAAUGGUUCACUGAAGAAGCCUGGGAGUCCCUUUGUAGGUAUUGGUGCUCUGCUGAAUACUUAAAGAAAAGGAGUCUUGGGCAAGAAUCUCGGAAGAAAAAUCCUGAUGGUGCUCAAAACAGGGGUGGUUCUAGGCCACUAGUUGAGACUCAACAAUAUCUGGUAAUCUCCUUUAUCACCAUCCAUUUCUGAAUAACUUGAAAUUUUCAUACGCUUUAACAUUGGUCACUUCUUUUAUGCCUUGAAGGAAGCUAAGCAUGGACCUGGGAAGGGCACUAUAAUAAAUGCUUUUGCCUGCAUGCAAGCUGGCCUUAAGAAUUGUGAUGCUAAUGGGAAUGCUGGCCCAAUUCCAGAACGGGCAAAGAAACUUCUUGUAUGUAGAACUUUCUAUCUAGUUGCAUGCUUUUCCAUUUGUAGUUUGUGACAAAUAAUUUUUAUUAUUUCUAGGAUGACUACAAUGAAGCAUUGCAAGAGAAGUAUCCAGAGAAUUGGCAAGAGCAACCUUUUGAUGGUCAAAUUGCAUACAAUAUUGGUCGUGGCUUGCCGCAUGGUCGUCUUGCAAUAGGAAAUGGUGCUGUCAACAAGGCUACGAUAAUUGAUGCUGCCAAGGCAAGUGGAACAAGGCCAGCAACCUCAAGGGCUUUUCAAAAUCUGUUGGCAAGAUAUGAAGAAUCAGUCGCCAAUGUUGAUCGCUUAACUGAACAAAACAAUGCCUUGGUUCAACAGAAUGCUGCAUUGACUCGAGAUGUGAAGCGUAAUGGUCGUGUACUUGAGGUACAAUUCUGUUUUUGUGCACUAUCUGUCUACAGUUCAAGGUUCAUAAACUUAGUGAUUAUGUAUCUUCACUUGCAGCUCAUUUUAAACAAAGUACAAAUAGAGAUACCACCAGACCUGCUUCAACAAGAAGAAAAUGACAUGGUAAGAUUAACAUUAUCUUCACCUGCAGCUAUAUUUAUACUUGUUCUCUUGCAGCUGCUUGUGUACCAACUGCUGGUGCAAAAUAGACCAGCUGCUGUUGUCCAAGUGAUCCUAUUCAAAGUGUCUCCUGGAAUGAUCCUAUUUAUUUGUUUUGGUUGUAGGGAGAUACUAUAGAUGGAUCAUCUCGCGCUUCAGCCAACAUGGACAGGGACAACAGCGAUGGCCAUUGAGUUGUGUGGUGGCAGAAAGUAUUUUGUGAAGCAGUAGCCUUUUGUUUAUCUACUAUGCUGAUGGCAACAACCAGCAAGUUUGAAGGCCAUGCAUGUGUCAUGCAGGGUAUUUUGUGCAAGUGAGGUAUUUUGGUUGUGCAUGAGCCGCUGCAUAUAUAGUUUAUGAAGCAACAUAUGCAGAUUCCAUCAUGCUUCAAGGCAUGCGUGCUGGUUGUGGAGUAGCAGCUACUUGUUGCCUAUUUGCUGCACGAGUGCUUGUGCAGAAGUGGGUGCAUACUGCCGUCAAAGAGCAACUUGCUACUACUUGCAUACUUCCUGGGUCAAGGAAUGUCGUUUUUUGGCUAUCUUGUGCAGAACUGGCUGCGUACUGUCAUGAGAUAGCAGCUAGCUACCUAUAGUUGUGUUGGAGCAUAGAUACCACCUAGUUGUGAGUUAGCACUUUUAACUUGUGCUCCCUGUUAGGUACCUAACUAGAAGGCUGAUUAGGAGGCACCAAUUAUAUAUAUGUAAUCAUGAACAAUUUGAAUGAUGUUCUAAGAUUAUGAAAUGUAAUAUUUAUUACUUCAGUGUGGAUGAAUGGUUACAUCAGAUGACAAUGGUCUUCUAAUGGCUAAAUAAUCAAUGAAUUUGGAC